rnacentral:antisense_RNA from 1 species
CUCCAUGGCGGGCCAGGUGGGGGAGACCUUAGGGUCUGCCGGGUCCAAGUAACCGGUUCGCCAGCCCCGCCUUGGCCUGCCACCCUU